CAUCUGUUCAUCAACUUGCAUCCCAUUAUCAACCUCUUCCGUCUCCGCCGUCAGUUCUUUCUCUUCUCUCCAGAUCUGUUCCUUAUCAUUUCUCUGCUUCUGAUACCGGAUUCAGAUCUGUGUAGAUCGUUCGCUGAUCUACAGUUUGAGUAUGGUUACGAGUUGCAUCAUGUAUCGGCUUUUCGAUCGUUGGGCCGGAGGUUUUGUUACGAACCGUUUGACUUUGAGAAGUGAGUUGAUGAAAGCUUCAUAAUUUGGAAGACUAGCUCUUGUCUGCUUGUUAGUUGUUCCAAAGCAACCAAAUCUGGUUAUUCAAAUUGGAGGUUUCAUCGUUUGCUGCUAGAGUUUUGUUGAUUUGAUUCUACAUGCGGCUCAAAUUGACCAUAUCUGUUCUGUAGAGCUGCUUGACUAAUCAGAUCUGAUUGGUGCUCCAACUGUCUGAACUGUGGGUCUGUUAACCGCUGGUAAUCGGCUAGGUUGUGGUUGUUAGAAAAGGUUUAUCAUUUAAUUUGUUGUCUAUUAUGAGCUGCAUCAUUGAUGAACAUUAACCUUUCUGAUACGCGUGCAUAUGUACGAGUUAGUUAUAUUGUCAUAGACAAAAAGAGAGGACGUGAGAUUUUUGUUGUUGUUUUCGACCUUUGCCAUGAUGGGUGCGCUCGCAUGGCAGGUCACAAUACCCAAUAAAGUUUCUAUUUUUUGUUUUGGGAGAGGAGAUGGCACAGGGUUUUUGCCUGGCGCUCCUCUCUUUGUGCCUGUCUUGUCUUUUAUUAUCUUCCUUGUUCCCUAGAUAUUAUGCGCAAGAUCAAUACCACAAAGAACGUCACAGCAGAUUGCUGGUUACUUGCCCUUUGAAUGGUGGUCUUUUAUUCAAGGGCAAGUGACUCGUACAUCUCUUAAAUUUGACAUCAGUCAGGCUAAUGCUAGGAUUAAUCUGCUCCAGCACUCCAAUCAAAGUAUUGGAGAGAAUGUCAUUCUUUUCUCUCCACUGGCUUUGAGAUGCUGCUCCCUACUUGUUGAAGAUCAAUAAAACCAUUUGCCUCUGUUGAGGUGAUCAACCAACUUUGGAUGCUGCUGAAUUACACUGGAAAGGUGAUAUUCUACUGCUGAAUUGAUUUAGGCUAUGUUGAUUUCUUGCUUCUUUUUCGAGUUCGAUAUAAUUCAUCGCUUGGGUACUUUUGUAAGCAUGAGUGUCAGCUGUAUUUGCUCUGUCAUUACUGUCAGUUGGAAUAGCUGUCUGAAAUUGAGGCUUCUCUAUUUGUUCGAAUACUUUCAAAGUGUUGCCGCCUUAGUUGAUGCAGCUGGUCCAGAUUGUUUGGUGUAUUGCCGAAGCGAGAGGGCUCAUUUUAUAAGUUCAAAAGUUUAUGUUGAUUGCAAUCUACCCUGAUAACUAGGGGGUCUCCCACUUUUAUUUUGUGUCUUUGAUCUAUCUAAUAUUUUGCUAUCUUUUAGGAAAUGGAUAUUGCAACUUUUGUAGAUGAUAGAAAACUGGUUUUUACCAUGCCUAAUUUGAGAAUUUUCUUUUGUCUGUAGUAGAGAGUAUUCAGAAAAUUUGCCAUGCUGUGCUAAUUCACUAGGUUGUGGAAGUUUAUUUCUUUUUGCUGAAGAUUACUUCAAGGAAAUAUUGACAUCUGGUACAUGUUGUCUUGAUCGUUUGUUGAGGGGGAAAUGGUCAUGUUUUAGUUUACGUACGUCGAUAGAGAAAGCAUACGGAUGUUUAUAGAGAAAUGUUACAUAAAUUUGAUAAAUUCUUAUUCGUCUUCAGUGGCUGAAUUUUUUGACUAUUUAAAGCAGCAAAAUUUUCUCCUUACAGCGAGAUGUUUUAGUUCUUCCGCACUUUAUACUCUCUUGCCCAAAUCAUAAAAUUAAAUUAGAAGUGUACUGAAGUAAGCCAUUAAUGUGGAUUCUUUAUAUGUUUGCAUUAAAAGGAAUACUUGCUUUUUUGGAAAUUCAAACUAA